CGCUUCCGGCUCUUUAUUCCGGAAGUUGCUUUUUGAGGUAGUGUGCGGGAUAGUGUGGUCUUUGUGAGCUUCCACCAUGGCGUACCGAGGCCAGGGCCAGAAGGUGCAGAAGGUGAUGGUGCAGCCAAUCAAUCUCAUCUUCAGAUACUUGCAAAAUAGAUCUCGGAUUCAGGUGUGGCUUUAUGAGCAAGUGAAUAUGCGGAUAGAGGGCUGUAUCAUUGGUUUUGAUGAGUAUAUGAACCUCGUAUUAGAUGAUGCAGAAGAAAUUCAUUCUAAAACAAAGUCAAGAAAACAACUGGGUCGGAUCAUGCUAAAAGGAGAUAACAUUACUCUGCUCCAAAGUGUCUCCAACUAGAAAUGAUCAAUGAAGUGAGAAAUUGUUGAGAAGGCAAUACAGUUUUUUUAGUUCCCCAACCAGGGAACCUCUGCCCCCUGAAAUGGAAGCGUGGAGUCCUUAACACUGGACCGCCAGGGAAGUCCCUAUCUUCACCAUUUUAAAGUGUACAGCUCAGUAGUGUUAAGUAUAUUCACAUUGUUAUGCAACCAAUAUUUAGAACUUUUUUAUCUUGCAAAAAACAAACUGUACCUAUUAAACAGCAACUUAACCAUC